CUCUUAUCGACGGGGACUGCUCUAAGGUCUGCCCUGCGCAGGACAGCAGACAGCGUGGACUUCUACCACCUUUCCCCGAGCCUCUGAAUAAAGUGUUUAAAUAAC